AAAACAUAUAAAUUAUAAAUCAUUUAAUAUAAUAUAAUAUGUUACAACUAAUAAUUUAAAACAUAAUUUCUUCUUAUAACUUAGGAUAAUAUUAUAUUCAAUAUAGAUGCCUAAGGUCUGACUUGGCUUGUUUUCAUAAACAAAUUAUUAUUAAGUACCUUGUACCUACUAAAACAUUUAACACUAAACAGUCAUGGAAGAGCCCUAUGUCGAUGGAUAGUUUCUACCUGCAAGCCAAAUUUUCGAAAGAAUAAAAUAAGAACUCACAGCUUUAGAACAUGCGAAAGCAAUAAUAUAAUUUGUAGCCAAGCCAGACCUUGGGCUUCAAUAUAUUAUCCAAAGUCAUUCUAUUCUGUGGUUAUAAGAAGAAAUUAUAUUUUAAGUUGUUGUAAAUAUUAAAUAUAUUUCAGGAUUGACCAUUGAAUUUAGAUCUCACUUUUGUAGUUGAAGUCAACAACCAAGGCAUAUAUUAAACGCAUACGCAUCGUAAUAUUGAAUUUGGCUCUCAAUUCAGUAUUCACGCGAAGUUGUCACUGUUAGUGUCUAUAUAGUGAGAUAUCGAGAAUCGAGAUUUGACACAGCAAGACGGCGCCCGGUGCUCGCUCGGGCACGUUCGCAAGAUUUUAUCGCACAGCUCCCACCCCAUUGCACCACGACCACAUGCACCGUGGUCCCAAUUAUCUAUUAUUUUAGUAUUUAUUAGUAAUGAUCUUACACUAUCAAUUUGUGCUAAACAUUAAAAUAAUAAUUAAUACUAAAUCCCAGUUAUUAACACGUUCAACAUCACAAACAUUGCCCCCCAGUCACCAGUGUUGACUAGUGACUACCCGUCGACAAAUAAACUAAAUAAUAAAUAUUAAAUAUAGUGUUUGUUUUGACCAUGACAAUUAUAAUUAUUAAAAUAUUUUGUCAUGGUUUUGACAAUUCAUUAUUUUGACCGACAAAAGGCGAAAUAAUGUUUUGAAAAAAAUUCUAGCGAUCGAUCAGGAUCAGGUAACGUUUAGAUCUAGAAUUCUAGAAUCUAGCAAUAUAAUUGGUUUUUAUUUUUAGUACUGGUUAUUAUUUUCCCCCAAAACGACUUCGUCGUCGAUCGUCGAUAACAACAAAGAACAAUAAUAGUGUAAUACCUAUACCGUGUAUUCUAUAAAUAAAUUUUACUAUUUACCGUAACAAUAACAUUUAUUAUAAAAUAUUUUCUAUUGUAUACAGCGUAUUCUUACAAAAUACAGGGUACAUAGAAUAAAGUAUCAAGUAUGUCGCUGGCUGCUGCACAUAAGUGGCCGAUGAUGUCGACACGUCAUAUUCUACCGAAUGUAUUUUUGGCGCGGCGAUUGCCAUCGCGAAAUCGUGAAAGAUUCUGAUAAUACUGACUCAACGUGUAAUUAUUAACGGACACCGGCCGGCAAAAUCUCUUGUAGUCUUAUACUCUUAUGCGUUCGGUGAAAAAGUCGAACGAGGAAUUUAAUAGAAUUGUCAAUCUAAAAGUUGGUGAAUUGACUCAUUUAACUGAGCUUCAACUUAACUCAGGACUGAAUUCAACUUAUUCAGUCAGUUCAUCAAAUUGAGUUGAAUUUCCCAUC